CAGCACCCAUCACAGCCUUCCCCUGAUCUGCCCCUUUAAGAAAAAUCAGCCCUCUCCGCUCCUCACCCUCCGCACACUGACCUUACACACUGGACAAUAUUUAAGGAUCAAGGUGCCAUCCUAUAAAGAGAAGAAAUCGCUGGCUCCUCUGGCCAUGAAAAAACACCGUGUAAAUUGUCAUUUCAGAUUUUUCAAAAAACAUGUUCAGCUCUAAGAAUUCUUCCGAAUUCGUUACACUCCUCCGCGCGAGGCUGCGCCUUGAUGGCCCCGGCGAAGUGACUCAUGUUCCAUGGGGUUUAUUCCUGUGAAGACUUGUGCUGAACCAGAGGAAAGAGCAGAACCUUUGGGGAAGGAAUGGCACAGUUUGGAAAGCAUCAGACACACUCACUGCUCCCUGUCAGAAAAAGAAAGCUCUGCUUUACAUCUCGUGAGAAAA